GAUGAACGCUGGCGGCGUGCCUAAUACAUGCAAGUCGAGCGAAUGGAUUAAGAGCUUGCUCUUAUGAAGUUAGCGGCGGACGGGUGAGUAACACGUGGGUAACCUGCCCGUAAGACUGGGAUAACUCCGGGAAACCGGGGCUAAUACCGGAUAACAUUUUGAACCGCAUGGUUCGAAAUUGAAAGGCGGCUUCGGCUGUCACUUAGGGAUGGACCCGCGUGGCAUUAGCUAGUUGGUGAGGUAACGGCUCACCAAGGCAACGAUGCGUAGCCGACCUGAGAGGGUGAUCGGCCACGCUGGGACUGAGACACGGCCCAGACUCCUACGGGAGGCAGCAGUAGGGAAUCUUCCGCAAUGGACGAAAGUCUGACGGAGCAACGCCGCGUGAGUGAUGAAGGCUUUCGGGUCGUAAAACUCUGUUGUUAGGGAAGAACAAGUGCUAGUUGAAUAAGCUGGCACCUUGACGGUACCUAACCAGAAAGCCACGGCUAACUACGUGCCAGCCGCCGCGGUAA
rnacentral:rRNA from 1 species